CUUUCUGCCAGGGAGUUUGUGGUUUACCAGUAUGGCCUUUCCAUUCUGCACCUCCUCAUCCCCCAGCUUCAUGCUCCAGAAAUCACCCUGAAAGUUGCUUCUCAUCUUCCUGCCAUGGAAGCCCAAGGCAGCACCUUCCAAGGUGCUUUCUUCUAUCAGUGCUGAAAACACACUGUUCAUUGGGAGAGAGUGUUUGGCCUCUGUGGGAAGCUUUGUUCUGCUGCUGAUCCGCUGCCUGGCCCACAUCAUUGCUGGGGAACCCCACCAGGACUCCGACCCUGCCUUUCUGGGGUCAUUUUACAAGGGCCUGGAGGCCUAUUUCAGGGAAGCAUUCUCUAUUACACUGAGAAUGCCAGCGGUUUCCAGGGACAGAAAACUUGACCAAAGCAUAAGUGCUAUCCUGCUGGAAGAGCAGCCCAUCUCUGACAGAGAAAGAGAUCUUCUGUCUAAACUCAUUGAAAUGAAGCAUGCAUCUCCCUUGGAGCCAGAAUCACUAGAAGAGUAUAUUCAGAAAAACAAAGAUCUUCUGCUCUUCACCAAUAUGGAACAUUUCCUAAAAAGCAUCCUCGCCACAGAACAACAAAUCC